rnacentral:rRNA from 1 species
CCUACGGGGGGCUGCAGUGGGGAAUAUUGGGCAAUGGGCGCAAGCCUGACCCAGCAACGCCGCGUGAAGGAAGAAGGCUUUCGGGUUGUAAACUUCUUUUCUCAGGGACGAAGCAAGUGACGGUACCUGAGGAAUAAGCCACGGCUAACUACGUGCCAGCAGCCGCGGUAAUACGUAGGUGGCAAGCGUUAUCCGGAUUUACUGGGUGUAAAGGGCGUGUAGGCGGGGACGCAAGUCAGAUGUGAAAACCACGGGCUCAACCUGUGGCCUGCAUUUGAAACUGUGUUUCUUGAGAACUGGAGAGGCAGACGGAAUGCCUAGUGUAGCGGUGAAAUGCGUAGAUAUUAGGAGGAACACCAGUGGCGAAGGCGGUCUGCUGGACAGCAACUGACGCUGAGGCGCGAAAGCGUGGGGAGCAAACAGGAUUAGAUACCCUGGUAGUC